rnacentral:lncRNA from 1 species
AUGUUUGCAGGUCAAAAAUUACACUCAGCUCUCAGAUCUGGUGAUUUUUGUUCAGAAGCCAAUACAUCAACAACAUCACAAGAAUUUGAUGAAUGUGCUUUGUCCAUUGUAAAUGCUAGGUGGGUGUUAAAGGACGGGACCAGACGACCGGAACCAUGGGAGGAAGAGCAGGCAGGCUGCAGGAGAGGAAGGAGGAAGGAACCGCAGGAGAGGGUGUGGCGUGAGGCCGAUGGAAACCACAGCUAUCUGUUGGGCAGGAAAGAGAAACCAGAUACAGCUUCCUGGGCAAUAGAACUUCAGAGACAAGCACAGUUUGCUGGCAACUCCAGGAGGCUGAAGCCACCAUUCCCGCAGCCUUUGGGGGGCUCCAUGGACCUAGCACUGCUGGUGAAUUGGCGUGGAUGCCGCUAAGUGCUGCGCUCAUUCUUGCGAUCUGUCUCUAUCCCAUUCUGGAGCAGUGACCAAGCCCUCAGGGGCCUCCUGCUGCAGACCACCCUUUCAGGGAGGCUGUUUAGAGCCCCACAGAAACCGUGCCACCAGCCAUGGAGCAGUGCUGCCUGAAGCAGAGAGCAGAGAGCCUGAGUCAGAGAGCAGAAGCCAAAGUUGCCCGCUUCCCCAACUUGUGAGCUGUGUGAAUUUGGGUCGAGCACUUAACCGGUCUGUGCCUCAGUUACUGCAUCUAGCAAAUGCAGGCGAUGGUAGCUGCCCCUCCUCAGGGAGACUGUGAAGACUAAGUGAGAUGGUGCCUGGCAAGCACUUCACAUGGUGCCUUGUUAGUCUGUCCUCUUCCUUCUUUAGAAAAAGGGCCCCAGUGGAGAGGCAGGACCCUGCCCCAUGAAAGAGGGACGCAUGCCUAAAAAGAGCAAAGGGGCCUCUUUCACAAAAUCAUAGGAUGUCUGAACAGAAGGUCUGGGUGGAUGCAACUUCUGGGAACCCAGCCAGGAGUGAAGUCUUCCCUGGAGAAAAUUUCCCCAGCAAGAAGCCCUGGAGCAGGAAAGCUAGGAUGACCAGACUAGUUGACCAAAUUCAAAUUUC